rnacentral:rRNA from 1 species
GACGGGGGGUCCAAGCGUUGUUUGGAAUCAUUGGGCGUAAAGCGUGUGUAGGUGGUUUUGUAAGUUAGAUGUGAAAGCCUUGGGCUUAACCCGAGAAGUGCAUUUAAAACUGCAGAACUUGAGUAAGGAAGAGGGUCGUGGAAUUCCAGGUGUAGUGGUGAAAUACGUAGAUAUCUGGAGGAACACCGGUGGCGAAGGCGGCUUGCCAGAACGCGCUCGACGGUGAGGGAUGAAGGCUGGGGGAGCAAACCGG